rnacentral:lncRNA from 1 species
CAGCUGAGGUCUCAAAGCUUUCAAAAUAUUGUAAACUAUAUCCAAAUCUUUCACUUUUACAUCUAGGGUCCCAAACUUUUAAUAAUGAUGCAGAUAACGGAAUCCGACCAUUCAUCCAUCAGUUUACUAAGAAAUUCAAAUUUUGACUCAUGUUGACCAUUUAAGUGAAGGUCAAAAUGGUCAAAUUAAUAUUCAGACACAAAAAUUUCCCACCCUUACCUUACCUAAUCCCAACCAUAAUCCACCCAAUGCCACUGCGCCCACGAUCGCCACACACCGCGCCAAAGACUGCGACCAACACCACCUCAAACAAACCAUGUCAUUGCCCCACCCCACCCCACACUGAACCAAACUAAAACCACACAGCAAUUCAAUUAUAUUUCUGUCUUUUCAUGUUUCUCAGCAAGGUAAACGUCGAAGUCUCAGCUCCCUAUUUCAUAUUGUACAGUUUUUGUGCAGACUAAUUUUCACAGAUGGCUUCAAUUAUAGCAAAGCUGCCUUCGUCAAUGCCGGUGGUGAUGAAUGGAAGAAAGAUGCCGUGUGGAAUUGUGGAAUUAGCACUGCCUGCCAUUGGAGGUAUUCUUCCGUGCACUUUCUAAUUUUAAGGUUGAAUACAAUUUUUUUGUGGAUUUCCUAUUUAGUGGUUUUUCUAUCUAUAUAUUUACCUGGGAGCAUUGAACUGAAUACUUCUGAAAGAUGGGCUUUCGUUUUUUUAGUCAUGGUAAGGUGAAGCAAAUUGCUGUGUGGUUGUGGUUUGGUUUGGUUGGGGUGGUGUGGUGUGGGGUGGGGUGGGUUGGUGGAGAGAAUGUAAGUUGCUUGAGGUAGUUUUGGUGGCAGUUGUCGGCGUGAUAUAGGUGGGUGGAUUUUGGUUGAAAUUAGCCAAUUUGGUGAGAUAGGGAGGGAUAGGAGAAGAUGAAAGAUUUUUGUUUUUAAAAUGGUAAUACGACCAUUUUGCCCUUUACUUAAAUGGCCAAAAUGAGUCAAAAAUUGAAUUUGUUGAUAAAUUGAAGGAUGAAUGGUCGGAUUCCGUCCACAUGUCCUCUAUAUGCCAUCGUUAUUAAAAGUUUGGGACCCCAGAUACAAAAAUGAAUGUUUGGGUAUAAUUUGUAACAUUUUGAAAGGUUUAGGACUCCAGCUGCAAAUUUUCCUUAAAUAUAUUGUGAUACAAGGCGUUGUAAAAUUUGGUACCGUUCUUUCACAACAUAAUCCCUUGGAUAUGGACACCAAUGUAUUGUCCUUGGUAUGGUAGAAAUAUUGUCGUUAAUUAUUUUGAACAUCAGUAAAAAUUGAUAAGUUCCAAUUCACAUUAAAUUUUUUAUUUGUUAAUUGUGGAAUUCGUUUAAAGCCUUUUGGCAUUAAGGUGGAUGUUUGUUGACUUCAAUAGUUGAAGAAUUAGGAGGCUCGAACCCAUUUACCCGACCCAAGUAGAAAGUUUCGUUUUGAGGUUCAACACUUAUAAUUGAGGUCUAACACUUUUAUAAGUGUUGCUCAAUGAUCUUUUAAUUGUGGGGAGAGAUAGUGAUCCUUGAAUUUUGAUUUAAUCAUCGGUUGUGGUCCUCCUGGAUAAAGGAGGAACCCCAGCUAACUUCACACUUCACUCUUUCAUUCUCUUGUGCUUAACUCUCAAUUUUCUCUCUUCUUUGUCUCACGGUUGCUCUUGCUUAUUGCGUUUUCUUCAUGAUCUUUCCACCACUUGUAAAUGUUUCUCUAGUUUCCUUCAUGGCUCCAACGGUUGAUCCGAGACAGGUUGUGGGCACUGGACUUCAGAGUGAUUUGAUAUGUGAACUGUGGAUAAAACUGAAACCUAAUUCUAGUGGAUCAAUUUUUGAUACGAAAGAACCUCGUGGACAGAUUUUGGGCAAUUUGAAUGCGAAAUCUCUAUUGAAACUUUGAAUAUUGUGUGGGUAUAUUGUUACAUUAUCUCUAUCAAGAACAUGGUUGUAUUUUAAUAUAACCUCAUGUAGACAUAAGCCAGCAAGAACAAGAACUCAUGUUCACGAAAUUGACCUGUGAAUUUUUUAGUAAGAUAAAAAAAAAACUAUCGCGAAUUUCUCUAUAGGUCUUACAACUGACUCUUACUAGUGGCGAGGGCCCUUCCUACUCAUUGCUAACGCAAAGGGAACGAGGAAUUCUCAAAGAAAAAAGUACGCUCUAAACCAAACGUGAAUGUCGUUUUCCCUGCCCAGAACGAGCUUUCCAUAGAGGCAAGUGAACUAGGUAAGCCGUAUGAUGGACAACUAUCUCUUGCAGUUCGGGCAGAACGAAAAUCUUUUGGUACCAAUAGAUAAAUCUUUCUUAAAUGAACAGCCACCACCGUUUGAAUUAAGAAACUGAAAAAAAAUCUCACAAUUAUUUACUAAUUGAAAAGCCACCUCCAUGACACUACCACCUCCUCUCUUGUAAUCACCAAAAUGACACAUCAAGUCCUUAAACUCCUAAAAUAUAUCAAAAGACACCUACUAACAAAUAAAAACAUAUAACUAAGCGCCUAUUUGAAGCUCAAUAAAAUCACAUUUUAAUGAGAAAUAAGAUUUUGAAAAAAUAUUUUAAUAUUUAAAAAAUCCUGUACACAAUGACCAAUUGAAAUUCAAUUUUCCCAUUUCACCCUCAGUUUAUGGCAAUAAAUGCUACUUUUACCCUCCAACUUUCUUAGUGGGAUAAAUUUGGAAUGACAAAAAUGAAGAAUUAAAAGUUCAUGGUGGAAAAAGUCAAAUUCAUUUCCUCUUUUUCAAUUACCAUAAACAAAUACUUCAUCUUCGUCCAACCGUGGCAUACGUUCAUUUACACCCUUUUUGAUACUUUAGAUUUCAAUAUGAGCAACCUUGCAUUAAACCCAUAUUUGCAAAAAAAAUUUAGCCCUUCGAGACAUAACACAGUGGUGCAAAGGAUAGGAGUGAGAUAGUCUCUACCUUACUGGCAGCCGCAGUGUGAGGGUUCGAUUCCUGAUAUAUGAAAUUGGACUCUUUGUGGGCACCAGUGUACGUGCAAGCUCUUGUUCUCUGACCUGCUGAGGUACAACUCGCGAUUUACCUUACUCACUAUACUCUAGGGGAGGGACGAUGGGAGCCCUCAAAAUUGGGGUUCAAUUUUUUUUUUUUUUUUCAUAUUUGUAAAAUAUUCUGAUUAUUGGUAUUAUUUAUACCCAUUUUUAUACUUUAGAUUUCAAUAUCAUUCUUGUUUUUAUUAUUCUUAUUAUAAACAUAACUCUUCGAUUUUUAGACACAUGCAUAUUAAUAUAAAUAAAUAAAUACAUGUAUUUAUGUCCAAAUAUGUGUAUGUAUAAUAUAUAGAUAUCUUUUUGUCAGUGUUGACCCCAAAAAGCGUUGUCAACAGAUGCCGGUCCCACCCGCGCACACGUAGGCGAAUGUCCAACACACUAAGACACGUGGACGGUAAAAAACGAGUGGUUCAAAGGGCGUGGGAGUAGCCCAACUACGCGAGACAGUGACGUUCGGAAUCCGACGGGUUGUUCGUGAUCCGAUUGUACAAUAAUUACCAACCGGUGUUCGUCGAUGUAUAUUUAAAUGUGUAUAAACUCGAUUUGUAUAUUGCAGGUAAAUGAGACAGAGUUGAGUAAAGUGUAGUUCUUUGUAUUGAUUAUUGCAUUAGCCUUUUGAUGUUACACAAGGGAAGUAUUUAUAGUGAUACAUGUGAAAUGGGAGCCCUUGGAUGAGGCGACACGUGGCCUCAUCUCUUUGAUUCAAACAUCUUAUCUUAGGUAUGGGGCUUGACUUGCUAGCUUGAGGCGCAUUUAUUGCUUGUACAGAGCUUCCAUACUAGUGACAAGACUUGACAUUUCUACUUAUGACAAAUGUUCCAUCAAUCAUUCGAAUAAGAUCUUUGUGUAGGCGAUCUCUUGGGAGAAGUGAACAUGGAAGAUGCUCCCUUGUGGUUUGAAGGCUCUUGGAUCGGCUUCUGGGCUUCGGCAAUUUCAUACAAUACUUCCACUUGAGGGCUUCAGCUAUCUUCAACCAGUUUCAGCAUCAUGGCUUCGGGUCAUAGGCCUCGGCAUGUGGACCUCGGGUACAUUCACAGGCCUCGGUAAAAGGGAGCUUCGGCUUGUGGACUUCGGCUUGAAGGGCUUCGGUCAUAGUCCACCUCGGCGAUCUAUGCCACCUCGGCUGGAGGGCCACGUGGUUCGCCCUGAGUGGGCCAUUGGCCCAGGUAGGCUGGCCAAGUAUGACAAUACGCAAUAAUAGUCCCCCAAGUCCAAGUAUGGUCAUUUAUGUAAUGCGUGGACUUUAGUGAAGUAAAAAUUGAAGGAAUUUUUUUAUUUUUUUAUUAUUAUUAUUUUUUUACCCCCAAAUAAUAGUCCCCCAAGUCCAAGUACCGAUAUUUAUAUCAUGGUUGGAGUUAGAGAUGUGCAGCUGUAGGUGAAUGGUGAACAGACCGAGGCUGUGUUGAAGGUGAGGCUGAGGUGGUUGGGAAACCGAACCUACGAGGCUUGUUGGCUGAAUGUUGAAGUUGAAGUCGAGGUGGUUGAGAAACCGAACCUGCGAAACUUGUUGGCUGAAUGUUGAAGCUGAAGCCGAUUUGGUUGAGAAACCGAACCUGCGAGGUGGUUGAGAAGCCGAACCUGCGAGGCUUGUUGGCUUCAUCAGCCGAGGCUCAAUGGUAAUGAUUGUGCGUUGAUAGCUGUGCCAAUGAUUUGAUGUUUUGUGCUUGUUUUCGAGGAAAAGUGGCUGGUCCGUACGACUUCCAAGGCGCCUGCUGCCGUCGAAUUAAAAAUACAAUUAUGAGGACAGCUGGAGGUUCUAGAAGCAGACGCGUUGGAUGGGUUGCGUAGGAGGCACGUUUGAAUCUGAGGCGUAGGUUUAGAAAAACCGUUUGAAUUCAACGCCUCGAAUUUGAUCUACAAUGAAGGGUUCAGAUUGACUGAGUUUCGAUCUAACGAUUGGGGUUCUCCUGGAACUCUAUAAAGGGUAAGAAAAUCCCAUUUUUUAGGACUUUUGAAAAUUUGCAAUUCGAUUCUCUCUCAAAUUCCUGAACAUUUCGGCGUCAAGGCUGCCUGUUUUUGAUUUUUCGGCUUAUCUCCGUUCGUAGUGUUCUUCCCUUAGGUAUCAUUCGCAGAAAAACCUUAUUUUUGUUGUGUUUAUUCUGUGAGAUGAAGUCUACCUCGGGUAGGGAGUUGGUGACGGUUGCGUCGUUAGAUUACGAGGUUAGUCAGAGGGGGAUGCCGAGGCUGAUAAUUAUGCCAUGACCGAAGACCCAGUAGAUUAUACUGAAGAGUGGGGGGCGUCUAAGGUGCCCUCAAGUAUGACGUGGAAGAGGUUAGGGGAGAUCAGGGAGAGAUACAGUAUCCCCCACACCAUAGAGAUGCUAGUUCCCGAGCCAAAUGAGCGGGCCUGCUAUCCGAGGUCCGGAUGCGUGGCAGUCAGUGAAUACCUGUUUAAGGCAGGUAUGCGUCUUCCUCUGCACCCCUUCUUUAGGGCGAUGUUGAGGAAUUUUAUGUUGUCGCCGACCCAGGUUCUGCCAAAUGGGUAGAACCAGUUGGUCGGCUCAUACUUCCUGUGGAAGGAGGUGUCACUUGGGGAGGACAUGCCUCUUCAUGUAUUCAUAACUCUUUUUAAGCCCCGGAUCAUAGGGAAGGAGUCCAGGGGGUGGUAUUAUCUUACACCUUGGGGGGCUCACACACCCUUUGUGGUGGAACUGUCUUCCUCCAUUAAGGGGUGGAAGGAGUCCUAGUUUUGGGUGCGGGGAAAAUGGCAGGCAGUGGAGGGGGACAAGGCCCUUUCUUGCACAGUGUUGACCCAGUACUACGAAGCUCGUGAGUCUCUCAGCCCCUGCUUGUACUUCUGAAUUGAACACUUUGAAAAUUUCUAACUGUUGGGGCUUCCAUUGCAAAUUGUAGUACGAGGUUCGAGCUCAGCAGGGAAGAGUUCGAGGUGAUAGAGGACAUCUACAAGAGGCCUCUGAAGCUCCGCCACUUCGACCACCUGAUCGACAGGAGUCGCUACUUUCUGGAUUUUGGACUAAUGGCUUCCAGAGGUACGAGGCUCCCAUAGUUGUAAAUUUCAUUGUCUUUUUUAUUGGAUAUUGAUGUGCUGACUUGACGCUCUUAUGCAGAUAAAUUCAAGAGGAGGGAGUACCCAGCUCCAGACAUGGCUACAAUUUUGAAAGCCACCACAACCGCUAAGGCUAGGGCCUUGAAGCCGGGGUCCAGUGGGGCCAAAGAGGUCCGAGGUAAGGUGGAUCACCUUUCCAAGGACAGUACUCUAAAAGCUUCCAAAGAGGGAGCUUCCCAGAUGCAAGAGAGGCAAAAAGAGCCUCGGGGGAAAGAUAAAGUCCCAGAGGAGGCGAAGAGGAGGAAGCUGGUGCACGUUACUAGCUCGUCCGGGAAAUUUGGGACGUCAGUGUCCCACGAGGCCAAAUCAACAUGCGAGCCAAAACUGCUCGCAUCUGCCUCCAAAACCAUCAAGUUAGAAAUGGUUAGAGAGGCUAAGGCUGAGGAGGCCAGAGACGAGGCUGCGAGGAGAGCUGCUGAGGCUGUCGAGGAGGAGGCAGCUAAACAAAAGCCUAUUUGGGAAAAGGGGAAGUCUCCAAGCUUCCAAGCUGGAAGGGAGGAGACCUUGGCCCCAUCCUUGGUGGAGGCUCUUCCCCAGGAGGUCCGAAGCGCCACGGAGAACUUUUACCGGUUCUGGACGGACAGGUGGCAGCUGCAUGCCUCCUCAUGCGAUGCUACCGACCUGAUGAGGGCGUUGGUGAGCCAAAGCGUCAGAACUUUUGGCCUCGCUCUUGAAUGCAGGGAGGCCCUGAGUGAUUUUCAGACAAGGACUAGGUCUUCGGAAGAGAAGACGGCCUCCCUUGCAGAGGAGUUGAAGGCGGCUAGGGCCGAGGUGGAAGAAGCCAGGGCCCAAAAACUUGAAGAAAUGGCCAAGCUGGAGUCUGCCUUGGUCCAGAUUGAGGCCUUGAAGAAGGAGGUCCACGAGUCACAGUGCGAGGUGGCCUCCCUUACAAAGAAGGUGGAGGUCUCCAAUGAGCAUCAGAAGGUGACCGUCGAAGCCUUGGAGAAGGCCAAUCUCUCUUUGACGGGUGCCCAAGAAGCUUACCAUUUCUUGGAAACCCAAAUCAAGUGGUAUGUGGAUGAUGCAUCCCAUGCCAGAGAGAAGGACCAACAGGCGAGGGAAGAGGCGGUGCACGAGUAUAUUGCCAACUUCCACAACACAGACGAGUAUAAGAGUUUCAGUGCAUACUGGAGAAACUUUGCCUAUGCUGAGGUGAUGGAGCGGACAGAAGAACUAUAUCCCAAUUUGGAUCUGACUCAACUUAGGUCUGAAUUCGUGGAUGAGGUACCUCAGACCCCUACUGAGGACAUGCAGGGUAAUGAAGCGGCUGAGGUAGGGGAGCCAAAUGCUGAUGCUCAAGCUGCCGAAGCCCCAAGUACAGAAGUACCUCCCCCAUCUACCCAAGCUUAGACUAGUUUUCUUUUCAGUCUUUUUUGAAUGUAAUGGCCUGAGGCCCAUUUUUGUAAUCCUUUUUGAAGAUCAAUAUAAUGCCUAUUUCAUUCAUUGUUGUUUCUUUAUCAAAGUGUACGCGCCUCGUUUAAGUAAAUGAACUUAAAGGUUGACAGAAGCAUCAACUAAAUAACUCUAACUUGGUACCUUAACUUCAAUUACUUUAAACAACUGGAUUGAAUGACUGUACGAACCUCGGACUUAAGUAAAUGAACUUUACUUAAGCAUAAUAACUGUAUGAGCCUCGGAUUUAAGCGAAUGAACAACUGAACAUAAUGAGCCUCGUAACCAAGCAAAUAAAAGUUGCACGUGAGGUGGCUUCUUCCCUUGGCGUUUUGUCUGGCCAACGGGAGGCAUGUGCUAGUGCCUCGAAAUUCAAGCGAGGUGGCCCAGAGGUGGGUCGCGAGCCUCUCCUCCGAGGUGACGACGCAUCCCAGACAUGGUGGAUGGUGCAGCCAUGUUGAGGCUUCUCCCCUUGGCGUUUUGUUUUUUCUGGCCAAAGGAAGGCAUGUGCUAGCGCCUCGGAGUUCAGGGAGAUGGCCCAGAGGUGGGACGCAAGCCUCUCCUUCGAGGUGAUGACGCAUCCUAGACAUGGUGGAUGGUGCAGCCAUGUUGAGGCUUCUUCCCUUGGCGUUUUCUUUUUUCUGGCCAAAGAGAGGCAUGUGCUAGAGCCUCGGAGUUCAAGCGAGGUAGCCAAGAGGCAGGACGCGAGCCUCUCCUCCGAGGUGUCGAGGUAGUACAACACGUUAAUUUAAUCACUGAAUUUUAUUGAACCAUAGAAAUGUGACAAAAGCUGGGAAAGGCCGUCCAGCAAGAUAGUACAUUUAUUGGUAGUAGAUUCUGAGGUGUUCAAUGUUCCAUGGACGGGAUUGUGCCUUGCCGUUCAUGUCUUCAAUCCAGUAAGUCCCAGGUCGGACUUCUUCUCUAAUUUUGUAUGGACCUUCCCAGUUUGGGCCAAGGGAACUGGAACCAGGUUCUUUUGAGGAAAGGAAGACCCUCCUAAGUACAAGGUCGUUGAUUCAGAAUGACCUCUUUUUGACUUUCGAGUUGAAGUACCUUGUCAUCUUUCUCUGAUAUGUGCCAAGCUUCAAUUGGGAGUCAUCUCUUCUUUCUUCGAUGAAGUCGAGGUCGAGCCUCCGAAGCUCGUCGUUAGUUAUCUUGCUGAAGUGCAGACGUCUUGGGGAUGGAAGUCCGACCUCCACGGGGCUCAUAGCCUCAGUUCCAAAUGCCAUGAGGAAGGGAGUUUCUCCUGGUGGUGGUUCGGAUCGCCCAAAAGACUUGGGGCAGCUCAUCAACCCAGGCCCCUUUUGAUACAUCAAGCUUCCUUUUCAAGACGUGCUUGAUUGUCUUGUUCUUGGCCUCAACUUGACCAUUUGCUUGUGGGUGGUGAGGUGUGGAGAAGUGUUUUUUUAUGCCGAGCUCUUCGCAUAAUUCUCUAACCUUCUUGUUGUCAAACUGUCUGCCAUUGUUUGAGACAAUUGAGUGGGAAAUUUCGAACUGGCAAAUAAUAUUUUUCUAUAAGAACUUCGAAGUGUUGGCUUCUGUAAUUUUUGCCAGCGGUUCCGCUUCGACCCACUUCGUGAAGUAAUCAAUAGCCACAAUUGCAAAACUUGCCCCUCCUCUACCUUUAGGUAGGGGACCUAUGAGGUCCACACCCCAUUUUGAGAAAGGCUAGGGGCUAGAGACUGUGGUCAGCUCCUGCGAUGGUUGUCUCUGCACCGGAGAGAAGCGCUGGCAUUUAUCGCAUUUUCGUACAAAAUCGAGGGUGUCCCGCUUUAGUGUGGGCCAGUAGUACCCCUGCCUCAAUAUUUUUUAUGCCAGAGAUAGACCUUCGGAGUGGUUGUUGCACACGCCCUCGUGGACUUCUCUUAAUAUGUAGGUAGCAUCUUCUCCUCCGACGCAUCGUAAGAGUGGAGAGGAGAAGCUCCUCUUGUAGAGAAUGUCAUCAAUGAAGAGAAAAUGGGCUGACCUCCUUCUCAGCUUGUAAGCCUCAUUUUUGUCGGUGGGUAGCACCUGAUCUUUCAGAUAUGCUAUAAUUGGUUGCAUCCAGGUGGGAAUUCCACCGACCCACAUGACGUUAGGGGCCUCGGUAGAGGGCAGUAGGAGAUGUUCGAUAGGCACUACAACGAGUAGCUCUGAGUCCUUAGUGAUACAUAUGGAAUGGAGGCCCUUGGAUGAAGUGGUACGUGGCCUCAUCUCCUUAGUUUAAACGUCUGUUCUUAGGCACGGGAUUUGACUUGCUAGCUUACGGAGUAUUUAUUGCUUGUGCAGGGCCUCAACGCUAGUGACAAGACUUGACCUUUAUACUUAUGACAGACAUUCCAUCAAUCAUUCGAAUAAGAUCUGUGCAGGCGAUCUCUUGGGAGAAGUGACAAUGGAGGAUGUUUCCUUGUGGUUGAGGCUNNNNNNNNNNNNNNNNNNNNNNNNUCAGUACAUGGACGGUGUGAGCUUGGAAGUAGGGUCUCAAUUUCCUAGAGGCCGUGAUCAAAGCCAAAGCGAGCUUCUCCAUAUCGGGGUAACGGGUUUCCGGCUAUAGGAGCGCUUUACUUGUGUAGUAUACGGGGAGUUGGGUAGACCCUUCUUCCUGUAUCAGAACAGAGCUGAUGGCCUCAUUGGAGAUGGCCAAAUAUAGUUGUAGGAUAUCAUCGGGCUUAGGUUUGGAGAGGAGGGGGGCUUGCCCCAAGUGCCUUUUCAAGUAUUGGAAGGCCUCUUCACAUUCCUCGAUCCACUGGAAUUUCUUCCCAACCUUCAGUACUUUGAAAAAUGGGAGGCGUUUGUCCGUAACUUUGGACACGAAGCGGCUAAGUGCGACCACUCGCCCGGUAAGACUUUGCACCUCCUUUGGCUUUUGGGGGGAUCUCAUCUUGCAUAGAGCUUCAAUCUUCUCGGGAUUGGCCUCAAUUCCUCGUUGGUUGACCAUGUACCCCAAGAAUUUGCCGGAGGCUACCCCAAAGGCGCACUUGAGGGGGUUGAGCCUCAUCCUAUAUCUUUUUAGGAUUUGGAAAGUGCUGUUGAGGUGCUUUAUGUGGUCAUCCGCCUCCAAACUUUUUACUAGCAUGUCGUCCACGUAGACCUCCAUUGUUUUGCCAAUGAGGUCCACAAACAUCUUGUUUACGAGUCUUUGGUAGGUUGCUCCGACGUUUUUCAACCCAAAGGGCAUCAUUCUAUAAAAAUAGAGGUCUCGAUCCGUAAUGAAAGAGGUGUGCUUUUCAUCGGUCGGGUGCAUGGGGAUUUGGUUGUAGUCGGAGUACGCAUCCAUGAAGCUUAACAACUCAUGCCCAGCUGUGGAGUCCACCAGUUGGUCAAUCCUUGGGAGUGGAAAGCUGUCUUUCGGGCAAGCUCUAUUGAGGUUGGUGAAGUUAAUGCACACCCUCCACUUGCCGUUGUUUUUCUUUACCAAAAUCGGGUUGGAGACCCAUCUAGGGUAGGUUGCCUCCCGGAGAAAGCCAUUUUGGAUGAGCUUCUGAACUUCUUCCUUUAGGGCCUCAUACCUCUCAGGAUUGAGGGCUUUCCUUUUUUGUCUAUACGGGGCAACCUUAGGAUCAAUUUUCAAGUGGUGGCAGCUGACCUUGGGGUCUAUGCCUACCAUGUCCUCAUGCUUCCAGGCAAAGAUAUCAAGAUUCUUGCUCAGGAAAUCCUUAAUCUUUUCCUUCAGAAUGUUGGAUAGGCAUUUGCCUACCUUCAGCACCUUUGAUGGGUCUCGAGGGUCUACCGAGAAGCUCUCAAGUUCCUCUACUGGGGAUGCCUGAGGCUCGUGUUCCAUGAUGCGGGGGUCAAUUUCAUCGAUGACCAGUGCCUCCGAAUUAGGUGGUGCAUCGAUCAUAUCAACAUCUUCUUGUUCGGUGGGAGCACCACCUAGGACGUCAUCCAUAACCACGUCAGCUAUGAUUACAUGGAUGUCCCGGGGCUCUACCUUCUUGAUGGAGCUUAGAUAGCAUUUUCUCGAGCCUCUUUGGUCGCUUCUCACGGUUGCCACCCCAUUUUCUGUUGGAAAUUUCAUGCAUGGGUGGUGGAUGGAGGUGACUGCUCCCAGUUCCUUUAGGGCUGGUCUGCCCAGCACCCCAUGGUAGGUCGACCGGCUAUCGACAAUGAAGAACUUCAUGAAGUUCAUCGUUGUUCGUGGGGAUUCCCCCAUCUCCACUGCUAGUGUUAUCUUUCCCCUCGGAGUGAUGCUAUCUCCGAUAAAUCCAUACAAUGGAGUGGUGGUGGGCGUCAGCUGAUGAUCCAAUAUCAUUUUAUCAAAGGCGGAUCCGAAUAGAAUGUUGACGGAGCUGCCGUUGUCAACUAACAUUCGUUUGAGCCCAUUCCUUGCUAUGACAGCCCUCACCACAAGUGCAUCGCAAUGGAGGUAAUGAACUCCCUCUGCGUCUUCCUGGGUAAAUACAAUGGGUGGAACCUGGUUUCUUCGGGAGCUGCUACCCACAAUGUAGCUUGUCAAAGGGGGGUGUUUAGCCUCCCGGGCAUAGUUCCUUUUGGCGUUUCGUGUUUCACCGCCAACAUACGGACCUCCAAAUAUGGUGUCCACCUCGUGGAUAGGGGCUUCAUCUCUAGCUUGCCGGUUUCUUUGGUGCCUACGCCCUUCUCCGGGCCUCUCCGCAUCAUGCUCCCUUCGUCGUGGGGAUACAUCCUUUUGACGGAGAGCGGCCUCCUCACGCCCACGUUGGUUGUCGUGCCUGGGCGGGGGCCUGUUCGCCUGGGGCGAAUCAUGUCUGUCUCUAAUGGGUUCCUGCCGGGAACGUUGUGCAUAGUCUCUACAAUCCGUUGUGUUAUGCCCGUAGGACCUAUGGUGUACACAGUAUCCUGGGGGGUUCGAAUUUGACCUAUUUCUAGGUCCAGAGCCUCGACCUCUCCCCCCUACGGGGCAUCUCCUGAGCCCCCAUCUGAUGGGGGUUAGUAAUUGGAUUGAUAUCUUCAUAUGCCAAGGUGGGAACCGCAUUCAAAGUGGUGAUGGCAAGUGCUUGACCAAAGUUCUCAUUCCCGGCCCGGUUCAUCUGGUAACCCAUCAGGUGGGAGGUCGGGCCUCUACCGCACUGUCUUUGAGGAGGCGGGAGGCCUCUAUUUGCCUUGUUCCUAUGCUCAAUCAAUUCUUCAUUGAUGAUCUUCCUUCUCAUCAUUUCGAGUAGGGCGUCAUAGGUGGUGGGGUCUUGAUUAUGCACAUCUCUCCAAAAUAAGGUAUUCAUGCUCAAACCUCCCCUUAGUGCGGAUAGUGCCUCUCGGUCGCUGACUUGUACGCAGUACGUCAUCUCAUCGGUGAAGCGUGAUAAGAAGCUCUUUAAGGACUCCCCAUGUGCUUGCCUCAUGUCCUGGAGACGUUGGAUGGGGGCUUCUCCUUCUUUGCUCACUGCGAACCUCUUCAAGAAUGUUGUCUUGAACUCGGGCCAGCUUCUAAUGCUCCCAGGUGGCAAUCUGCUAUACCAAAUUUCAGCCGCUCCACUAAGCGUUAAAUGGAAGGCUCUGCACUUCACGGCUGGGGUGGCGCCCCUUAGGCUCAUGUGAGUUUUAUAAGCAUUCAGAUGUUUCUCCGGGUCGCCUCUUCCGUCAUACUUUGGUAUUUUUGGCAUAACAUAGUGGCUCGGGACCUGGGCAUUCCUUAGUUCCCUUGAGAAUGGUAGGUUCUCAUCGUCAUCGUCCAAGUCGCAGGACCUCUGCUAUUCAUCAGAGUCGUAUUCAUCAGCCUCAUGCCCUGGUUGUUGGUGAGAGGUUCCGGGGAGAUCCCUAGCCUCUUCCUCCCUCCUCUGCUGCCUGUUUCUAGGCGGAGCAACACGGGGGGCAUUUUCUUGCCUUCUUUCUGCAUGCUGGGGCAUUGUAGUUGGAGGAGGCGGCCUUUUCCAAGGUUGUUGAGCCUGCUGUUGCCUUAGCCUGGGUUCGGCGGGGCUGAUUCUGUCAAAAAUACUUCCUGCCCUCCUAUGUCUUGGAUCUUGCUCAUACGAAGGUGGGAAAUUAUCAUGGCUCAUUUGGACCUCGGUGGAUCGGCCAGAAGUGUAGUUGGAAGAAACAUCAACUUCCACUUCCCUUUCAAAUGGGCUUCUACCUCGGCCAUAGUCUGGCGUAGCAGCUCUAUGACUUUGGACUUCAUCCUCUUGCUGGUAGUGCCCUUGGGGGCAUAUGGAGGAACGGGGAAGCCUCCCUAGCCCUGCAUUUGGGCCAUAAGCUCCCUCAUAGCCAAAUUUUGGCUAGCAAUAUCCCUUAUGUUGGCUGUCAUGGCGGCCAUUUCUCUUGAUAAUCGUGCCGUCGCACGCAUCCCACCUCUUCUUUGGUGGUGGUGGAGUCUUUGUUGAGCUGCUGGGACAGCGAGCUGAGGAGGCACGUUCGUGUUUUCUCUUACCCUCCUAGAGGGAGUAUCUUCAUUGGAGCUCAUUUUCUUUUGUCAUAUUUCAAAUUUCGCUAAGUAAUGGGGCUUCCUCCUGUUCUUUUCCAAGAACAAAUUCUUUUUCAAGGGAGGUUGCCCAAAUGUCCUUUCAGUAAACUUUUGCCACAAGGUUGCUCGUGAUUAUGGUAUGAUUUCCCACAGACGGCACCAAUCUGUUGACCCCAAAAAGCAUUGCUAACAGAUGCCGGUCCCACCCGCGCACACGUGGGCGAAUGUCCAACACGCUAAGACACGUGGACGGCCUAAAACGAGCGGUUCAAAAGGCGUGGGAGUAGCCUAACUACGCGGGGACAGUGACGUUCGAAAUCUGGCGGGUUGUUCGUGAUCCAAUUGUACAAUAAUUACCAACCGGUGUUCGUUGAUGUAUAUGUAAAUGUGUAUAAACUCGAUUUAUAUAUUGCAGGUAAAUGAGACAGAGUUGAGUAAAGUGUAGUUCUUUGUAUUGAUUCUUGCAUUAGUCUUUUGAUGUUACACAAGGGAAGUAUUUAUAGUGAUACAUAUGAAAUUGGAACCCUUGGAUGAGGUGGCACGUGGCAUCUUUGAUUCAAACAUCUUAUCCUAGGUAUGGGGCUUGACUUGCUAGCUUGCUGCGCAUUUAUUGCUUGUGCAGAGCCUCCAUACUAGUGACAAGACUUGACCUUUAUGCUUAUGACAAACGUUCCAUCAAUUAUUCAAAUAAGAUCUUUGUGUAGGCGAUCUCUUGGGAGAAGUGACCAUGGAGGAUGCUCCCUUGUGGUUCGAAGGCUCCUACAUCGGCUUCUGGGAUUCGGCCAUUUCAUACAAUUCUUCCACUUGAGGGCUUCAACUAUCUUCAACCAGUUUCAGCAUCAUGGCUUCAAGUCAUAGGCCUCGGCAUGUGGACCUCGGGUACAUUCACAAGCCUCGGUAAAAUAGAGCUUCGGCUAGUGGACUUCGGCUUGAAGGGCUUCGGCCAUAGUCCACCUCGGCGAUCUAUGCCACCUCGGCUGGAGGGUCACGUGGUUCGCUCUGAGUGGGCCAUUGGCCAAGUAUGACAACACGCAACAGUCAGAUAUUUUAGUAUUGCACAAAUAUUUUCAUCACGAUUAAGUUAAUGGCUGGUCAGGAUGAUUUCAACGUUAAAAUGUGGUUAUAUUGUGGCUUCAUCCAGUUCCUCGUUCCAGCAUUUUUUCUAUUGAACUUCGAGUACAGUGCUAUCUUUAUUUCAGAAGAAGUGGCCGCAGCGUGCUUCUUCCUCUCCAUGAUAACCAUGAUAGGCAUGAUGUCUUCGUGGUCGGGGUUAGAUAUGGUCGAUGCCUUUAAUCGUCAUCAGGUUCAAGAUGUACCAAUUACAGAUACAAAUAUGAGAUUAAAGUCAAAUUUUCAUCAUCGUCAAGUCAAAUAAGUGAGGGUGUAUCGUAGAAGAUAAAUUUCUUGUCGAUUUUAUGCAUAGCCGU